GACGAACGCUGGCGGCGUGCUUAACACAUGCAAGUCGAACGGAAAGGCCCUGCUUUUGUGGGGUGCUCGAGUGGCGAACGGGUGAGUAGCGCGUGAGUAACCUGCCCUUGACUUUGGGAUAACUUCAGGAAACUGGGGCUAAUACCGGAUAGGAGCUCCUGCUGCAUGGUGGGGGUUGGAAAGUUUCGGCGGUUGGGGAUGGACUCGCGGCUUAUCAGCUUGUUGGUGGGGUAGUGGCUUACCAAGGCUUUGACGGGUAGCCGGCCUGAGAGGGUGACCGGCCACAUUGGGACUGAGAUACGGCCCAGACUCCUACGGGAGGCAGCAGUGGGGAAUAUUGCACAAUGGGCGGAAGCCUGAUGCAGCAACGCCGCGUGCGGGAUGACGGCCUUCGGGUUGUAAACCGCUUUCGCCUGUGACGAAGCGUGAGUGACGGUAAUGGGUAAAGAAGCACCGGCUAACUACGUG
rnacentral:rRNA from 1 species